AUGGCUUCUGCAAGUCUUUUUUUUUUUUUUUUUUUUAUACCUAAAGGCCUUUUUCAAGUUUACUGAUUUGCGACCAAUACCUUAAUACUACAUUUGCUCCGUCAAAAAGUUUGUAUGAACUAAUUUUCUCAUUACCAGCCACACCAUAAAUCUCGAGAAUGUACAGUAAAAAAGCACAAUGGCUAGUGUCUGCUGAAAGUUCCAGGACCUAAUGAAACUCCAAUGUGCAUGGACCUAUAAUUAAAAAAUCGGAAUUAAAGCUAAUCAACAUAAAAUCCUUUAUACUGUUAAAGUUUUUAUAUUUUCAUCCUUCUACAAUCUCGAUGCUCCCCUUAAAUUACAGCAUAACAGGAAAAAUCGAUUUUCUCACAAAAAAGACAUCCUACUGUGCAAAUCACAACGAAGUAUGGAGAAAAAAGAAAAUAAAUUAAUUACGAAAAGAUUAAAUAAAAAAAAUGAAAAUAUUUGUUUCUCCCAGCAAUUCAUAUACGCUUAAGGAAUGUCCUCAUGAACAAUAUUAAAUCCAUCAAAUAAUAAAAAGGGGUAUGUAAUAACAUAAGUUUGAUAUUAGGCAGCAUAAACCAUAGAAAAGCUUCAAAAUGAUUUCUAGGAAUAGGG